AGAUGAGAGAAACACCCCGCUCGCAGGGGACUGCGAGCGAUGCCGAGCCGGUGCUUCCCCAGCCCCGACCCGGCUGUGCCCUCGCGCACACCACUGGAGCCUCCGGCUCCGGAUCUCCUCACCGAUCGGA
rfam:Streptomyces bingchenggensis BCW-1, complete genome.